rnacentral:rRNA from 1 species
AUCUGUAAGUCAGUGGUGAAAUCUCACAGCUUAACUGUGAAACUGCCAUUGAUACUGCAGGUCUUGAGUAAGGUAGAAGUGGCUGGAAUAAGUAGUGUAGCGGUGAAAUGCAUAGAUAUUACUUAGAACACCAAUUGCGAAGGCAGGUCACUAUGUCUUAACUGACGCUGAUGGACGAAAGCGUGGGGAGCGAACAGGAUUAGAUACCCUGGUAGUCCACGCCGUAAACGAUGCUAACUCGUUUUUGGGUUUUUAAGAUUCAGAGACUAAGCGAAAGUGAUAAGUUAGCCACCUGGGGA